rnacentral:rRNA from 1 species
UACGGAGGGUGCAAGCGUUAAUCGGAAUUACUGGGCGUAAAGCGUGCGCAGGCGGUGAUGUAAGACAGGUGUGAAAUCCCCGGGCUUAACCUGGGAACUGCAUUUGUGACUGCAUUGCUGGAGUGCGGCAGAGGGGGAUGGAAUUCCGCGUGUAGCAGUGAAAUGCGUAGAUAUGCGGAGGAACACCGAUGGCGAAGGCAAUCCCCUGGGCCUGCACUGACGCUCAUGCACGAAAGCGUGGGGAGCAAACAGG